UCUCCGAAUAUCAGCAAGAGCGUAUCUAUCCUUAUUUUGCGUUUCACAAUCACGGAUAAGUGCUAUCUCUCUUUAACCAACAGUAGAUAGCUUCUUCCCUCCGAUUUAUCCGAGCCUCUUGAUACGUUUCAUUCUACUACAAAUACGAAACAACAUCAGGAUCAAGACUUAUUUUAUUUUAUUCUAAAUUAUAACUAUAAUUUAACCAGCAUAUUGUAGACUAUCAUAAACACAUUUGUUUAUAACAAAAAGUAAUAAAAACAUAUGUAGAUUUUUUUAAAUUGGACGUAUUGCUAUUUUUAUCCUAGUCGAAAUUAUGAAACGAAACGUUUUGACAGUCCGUUUGCCAAUAAGCAGUGAUCAGUUUCUUUUGUUUGUUUUUCUAUUGUUUACCUACUAUAUUAGGUGAUGACUUACCUCCAAAACGCUUUAAAACUUUCGUUUAUAAUUCUAAGUGUGUUUAUAAUUAAAGAGCUACAGUGAAAUAAAAUGAAUUCUUCAAGAAAGGCAGCACCCAUGACAAAAGAUGAGACGAUGAUUCUAGCAGAACUUGUGGCGGUGAAAAAACACAUCAAUAAUAAGGCAACAAAUGCCACAAACAAUAAAUUGAAGCAGCAGGCUUGGCCAACCCUUGUAAAUGAUUUUAAUUCGUCGAUUCGUCGUUUCCCAUGAACUCCAUCGCAGCUUCGACUAUAAUGGGAAAACUUAAAAAACGCUACGGCAACAUAAGAAACAACCUUAGUAAGGCUGGAGGUGGUAAGGAUUGCAGAUGAAAUUUUGGAUAAAGCAUGCACAUUGUUGUAGGUCACAUAUAUUUUUAACACUUUUACAGCCAAGCGGAAACAAGAUGGAAGAAAAGAAAUGCAAUGUAUUAGCAGAAUA